AUGGGGGUACCGACGAAUCGACAACUUUGAGGGUUCAACCUUGGGAGUUCCUUCCGCUUCACCUAGCACAGCGGGAAGCAAAACAAAUGAAAGAACGCUUGGGAUUCUCCAUCCCAGUUCAUAUUGUGUGGUGCGAACGACGAGGCUCCGAACACGGGGAAAUGCCUACUCCUUCGGGUAGCACGCUGACUGCGCUGUGGCCGCACGUCCCAGCCUUGCUCGACGUCGCUUCAGGAUGCUCUUGACACUAGCGCAGCUGAAGCGGGCGAUCGACGGUUGUGUUGUUGAUGAGCUCGUCGCCCGAGCCGCUGAAUGAAGAGCGCUAAUUUGGACCAUGGUGCCAGCGAACGUCUCGGAGCCUCGCGAGAUGUCUGGCCCGUCGCCGCCUUUGCAGAUCCCCUGACGAGCAUGGAGCGCAGCCAGCAUUGCAGCCACCACCACAGGAAGGCAAGUCACUGGUUCGAAUCUUCGAUGAUGGCACGUUGGUAUUCCAGUCCUUUGCACAGUCACUUCUACAGAGCAUCCUAUCCAGCGUAGAGAGCAGAGACCUUGUGGUGGUGACUGCCUGGGCUGACACGCUGCUGGAUGUUCUCGAGCUUCUACCAAGGGCCACGAUAUUGCAGCAGCCUAAUUUUUCUGGCUGUGUUCAAAAGGGUGCACAAGGAGCUGCUGCCACUGGCAGAGUCCCCCUGCCGGGACCCUGAUCCGGAUGUUCGGGCCAGCAUGUGUUGUCAGCCGGGUCCUCUCACUCGGU